rnacentral:tRNA from 1 species
UCUUUGGUGGUCCAGUGGUUAGGACUCUGUACUUUCACUGCUGUGGCUCAAGUUCAAUCUCUGAUCAUGGAA